rnacentral:siRNA from 1 species
UCGGAUUCGAAAUUUCACGGU